GACGAACGCUGGCGGCGUGCUUAACACAUGCAAGUCGAACGGAAAGGCCCCGCUUUUGUGGGGUGCUCGAGUGGCGAACGGGUGAGUAACACGUGAGUAACCUGCCCUUGACUUUGGGAUAACUUCAGGAAACUGGGGCUAAUACCGGAUAGGAGCUCCUGCUGCAUGGUGGGGGUUGGAAAGUUUCGGCGGUUGGGGAUGGACUCGCGGCUUAUCAGCUUGUUGGUGGGGUAGUGGCUUACCAAGGCUUUGACGGGUAGCCGGCCUGAGAGGGUGACCGGCCACAAUGGGACUGAGAUACGGCCCAGACUCCUACGGGAGGCAGCAGGGGGGAAUAUUGCACAAUGGGCGGAAGCCUGAUGCAGCAACGCCGCGUGCGGGAUGACGGCCUUCGGGUUGUAAACCGCUUUCGCCUGUGACGAAGCGUGAGUGACGGUAAUGGGUAAAGAAGCACCGGCUAACUACGUG
rnacentral:rRNA from 1 species